rnacentral:rRNA from 1 species
CCUACGGGAGGCAGCAGUGGGGAAUAUUGGACAAUGGGCGAAAGCCUGAUCCAGCAAUGCCGCGUGAGUGAUGAAGGCCUUAGGGUUGUAAAGCUCUUUUACCCGGGAUGAUAAUGACAGUACCGGGAGAAUAAGCUCCGGCUAACUCCGUGCCAGCAGCCGCGGUAAUACGGAGGGAGCUAGCGUUAUUCGGAAUUACUGGGCGUAAAGCGCACGUAGGCGGCUUUGUAAGUUAGAGGUGAAAGCCUGGAGCUAAACUCCAGAAUUGCCUUUAAGACUGCAUCGCUUGAAUCCAGGAGAGGUGAGUGGAAUUCCGAGUGUAGAGGUAAAAUUCGUAGAUAUUCGGAAGAACACCAGUGGCGAAGGCGGCUCACUGGUCUGUUACUGACGC